rnacentral:rRNA from 1 species
CACGUAGGAGGCGAGCGUUGUCCGGAAUCAUUGGGCGUAAAGAGCGCGCAGGCGGCUUGGCAAGUCGGGUGUGAAAUCCCGGGGCUCAACCCCGUGACUGCAUCCGAUACUGUCAGGCUAGAGGUAGGUAGGGGAGAUCGGAAUUCCUGGUGUAGCGGUGAAAUGCGCAGAUAUCAGGAGGAACACCGAUGGCGAAGGCAGGUCUCUGGGCCGAUACUGACGCUGAGGAGCGAAAGCGUGGGGGAGCGAACAGG